CACGUAGGGGGCAAGCGUUGUCCGGAUUUAUUGGGCGUAAAGAGCGUGUAGGCGGCCAGGUAGGUCCGUUGUGAAAACUCGAGGCUCAACCUCGAGACGUCGGCGGAAACCCUCUGGCUAGAGUCCGGAAGAGGAGAGUGGAAUUCCUGGUGUAGCGGUGAAAUGCGCAGAUAUCAGGAAGAACACCCGUGGCUAAGGCGGCUCUCUAGUACGGUACUGACGCUGAGACGCGAAAGCGUGGGGAGCGAACAGG
rnacentral:rRNA from 1 species